rnacentral:rRNA from 1 species
GUGGGGAAUUUUGCACAAUGGGCGAAAGCCUGAUGCAGCGACGCCGCGUGGAGGAUGAAGGCCUUCGGGUUGUAAACUCCUUUUGUAGGGGACAAUAAUGAUGGUACCCUGCGAAUAAGCCACGGCUAACUCUGUGCCAGCAGCCGCGGUAAGACAGAGGUGGCAAGCGUUGUUCGGAAUUACUGGGCUUAAAGGGCGCGUAGGCGGUAAGAUAAGUCUGUGGUGAAAUCCUAUGGCUUAACCAUAGAAUUGCCAUGGAAACUGUUUUACUUGAGUCAGCGAGGGGAUGGUGGAAUUCCUGGUGUAGCAGUGAAAUGCGUAGAUAUCCGGAGGAAGGCCGGUGGCGAAGGCGGCCAUCUGGCGCUGAACUGACGCUGAGGCGCGAAAGCGUGGGUAGCAAACAGGAUUAGAUACCCGAGUAGUCC